rnacentral:lncRNA from 1 species
AUUUUCCCAUGUUGUGAAUAAAAACUGAAUUCAGAGAAAUAUCCUGCUGCUGUGUACACAUUUUACCUAGAAAAAAUGUACUGUCUAAGACUACAAAACAAAAACUGAAAAAAAAAGAACUUGACCAUACAUUUGCCGUAAGGAAGAAUUAGAUACCUCAAAAAUAAGACUGAAGAAGAAACAUCUUGUUGUUCCCCUAUGGGAAAAUGUAGAAAAAAGUCAAAAAUUAGGAUGAAGAAAAAACUCUGAAGACUGAUGCUACUUGUGCUGAAGACUGAUGAAAACGCAUACAAAACCUGACAGUAACUUCAAUAAAAAACAAUGAUGGGAACAGAGAUCUUGCCAGAAUAGCAUACGACAACAAUUAUCUUCGAAAAGUUGUUUCUUAAACUCCGCCCUCGUAAAACAACCACUCCUUGGCUGCUACAGCCGCUGGAAGCGACACAGGUGUCAGUAGGCUUAUUAGCGCAGACCCACAAAAAAUGAUCUUCCUCCGUGAGUUGUAUCUUUGAGCGUCAAAAGCAUGUAUCUGUUGUGAUGGGAUUCAACACCACUGACGCCCCAUUUGGUCCAUUUCCAGCGUGCAUCUGAUCUGUAAAAAAUGAAGUGAAGCAAUAAAUAUGAAGGCCAAAUUAGUAAGAUGACAAAAUGCAGAUAAACUGAAAACUGUAUGAACAAACUUGCUAACCUACCUGGGAUUUCUUGACAAACUAAGCAACUAGGAUGGACAGCUUUAUUCGAGAAGAUCGAACAAGGACUGAAGUAGCUGAAGGUCUGAAUACUCAUAAAUAAGAAAACAGUCUAGAUAAGCAGAACAAAUUUUUCGUGGUUGUAGGCUGUGGUGGACUUAGGUCUGAAACAAUGAAUACUAAAUUAAGACUGAACAGUGAAUACUAACUAACCUACCUAUGUGGUAACACACAAAACUGAACAAAAUGACACCUAACACUGAAACUAAUAACAUAACUAAAAAAUGACACUAACCCCUGAGAGUACUUAAAAUGACACUAGUGUGGGAGAAGUUGUUGAGUAAGUGUGGGACAACUUUGGCUCGGAGAUGUGAAAUAUAACCUACAGGUACAAAAAUAAAGGUAAGAAAAUGAUCAGGACUCAUUGGAAAAUGACAGAGUGAGUAAGCACUAGGGACUCAGACUGAUUGACUAAAAACUGAUAGACUAAAAAAGGAAAUGAAUGCAACAAGUAAUGACUAAAUGAGAAAAACAAAUCUAAGAAAAAGCUAAAGUUUAUAUAAUUCUAUCAGCUAAAAGGACUAAGUUUGUAUCUGAAGCAGGAAAAAACUGAAUUCAUACACAAACUAAAGAAGAAAUGAAAUGUUUAACUGAACAGGACAACUAUCAUGCUAUCAUAAAACAUACAUGGAGGUGUUGGUAAUAUCCACAUCAUAGCCUUGUAAAAAUGAGUGAUGAAUGAAAAAUGAAACAUAACAAGAACUAGACUGUAGUGAUAAAUGAAUAACUGACCAUGACAGUGAACUAGACUAUAGUGAUAAAUUUUUUUGAAACAGAACUAUAGUGAUAAAUUGAACAUAUUCAAAACUAAGUUACCACUCAGCUUUCAAAGUCCUCAGACAACCAAACCCCAAAAUUUAGACGCGAUGAGCGACGGUCAGCGCAGUCGGACCUGCAGAUUGGGUACGCCAUCCCCGUUACAUAUGUAGCAGAGAAAAAACUAUUUUUUUAGCAAAAAGAUGACUGAAAAACUAAGAACAGAGACUCACCAGAUAACUAAUUUAAACUACAGGAAUUAUAAACACAUAUCAAGUCUAACAAAUUUAAAAUGAAUGCCGAAAAUACAGGAAUAACAUCAUAAAGUGAAAAUAAUAAGCUGAAUGGAAACUAACUAGUUAGAAUAAUAAAUGACUUAACUUAAAACUGAUAGACUAGAACAAACACUGACCAAAUAACUGAAGAGAACUAAAAUGAGACACUUAAGAUACUAAACAAACACCGACCAAAUAACUAAUCACUUAAUAUACAGUUGAAGAGAACUAAAACUGAUACUUUAGAGUACUGAUGACUAAAAACUGAAAAUAAUCUAGCAAAAAAACCAGUGCAAAAAACUGAAAACCAAAAACUAAAAACUUAGGACUUACAGGAACAUAAGGUUCAAAACAGAAAUAAUCAUCUACUAAAAGACAAGACUCAUGAGAGAUAGGAGUGAAGAAAGAUGCAAAUGAUAACUAAAUAUGAUAAAAAUGAGGACUGAUACUAUUACCAAAACUAACAUAAGACUGAGAAGGCAAGCUUACAAACUGAGGAAGAAAAACACCAAUUGCUGGAACAAAAUUAUAGAAAGGUACUGAAAACGGAAGACUAGACUACAGAAACACUGAAAACAAAGAUUCUAAAGACACAGAAAACUGAAGAACUAGAGAUAGAGAGAAAAGAGGGCUGAAUAAACAAGACAAAAAAGGUGGUUGAAUAGUAAGGUGACUCAAGAAACACUGAAAAGUGAAGGAUUGAAGACAGAGAAAAGAAAUCUGAAGAAAUAAACAAUUACUAAAGACUGAAGAAAGAUGACUGAAAAUAUAUAUGAAAUAGUUACUGAUGACAGGAUGAAGAAGAGAUGUAAUGGGCAAGGUAUGCAAACAGAUGAAUGAAGCAAUUCCAACAGGACAAUAGGGACCCUAACCACUAUAUGGCGCAGAGUGGAGGUGACAGUUUGACUGUCGAGCUAUUGAAUCCUACUAUAGCCUGACAAUUUGUCUAACCUCCCUGAUUGGAUAAGUGAUUUUCAGGCACUGUAGUUAAAAAAAAUAUGAAGUGAAGUUUGCAGCAGUUGAAAUUCAUUUUAAACGAUAGCCAUUGCCAGAAGAACUAAACAAAAAAGUAGGCCCUUUCGCCUUUGAGACACAUCGAUCUUUCACAACUAGCGCGCAACCUAGCCGACCCGUCUCCUGGUAGAUGUUGAUUUCUUCGCGUGUGUUCAAAGAAACUAAUUUAGGGGUGCUCUGGUUUUUUUACUGUUAGGCUGACCCCUGAAAAAAUUGACUUCGAACACACCUUAAUUGGAGGCACUACAAUGAAAGAAAAAUCGCUGUCUACUGAAAAAUGAACGCCCAUGAACCUGCACUACAGCAAAAAAGAAACCUACACCGAAAAGCAACCAGUGUUCAUGCAGGAAAAAGGCCUAAACCUACAAAAAGCAUACUGAAAAAUUAUAAUAGCCAAUACAUAACAGGUAACAGGAAAAAUUCAGAUCUGUCUGUUUUAGCGUGAAUAAAUCACGCCAAAAAAUAACCGUGAGCUUGCUCACAAAAGUCGGGCGUGAGAAGCAAAACCAUCUCCAUAAUGAAGGAAAUAUUUAAGCUGAAUAAUGUACAGAACAUGGUAAAAAAAACUGAAUAAUCUAGUACCAAAAGCUAGCUCUCAUUCACUAAACUGAAAAAUGAUAAGUACAGAAAAUAUAGAUUGUGCGCAUGUAACAUGUUUUCAUCAUGGAAGAUGCUACCGAAGAAAAUAGGAUUCAGAACAUUCCUUCGUCCAUGCUUACAUCAACAGAAAGCAGACGAAAAUGCCGCCUGAACCAUUACUGAACAUUGCAUAGACCCUCCCACAAAAAAAUAAAAUCACCAGCAAAUGCCUAAAAAACUCAAAUACCUACUUCCACACAUGCAACACAUGUGCAGUUUUUAAAAGACUGCAGAGGAGCCGAACCGCAGAUCUACAUCCAACACUUCGUAGUCAACUUAAUGGAAUGUUUUGUUUAGUGGUGAAAUUGACACUCAACACUUCUUUGAACCGGAGAUCUAGAUCCAGAAAAACAACAAGCCGGACUUGGCGAUGAAAUUUGGGGAUUGACUGACACACACGCAUAGGUGGCUGCAAAAUAUUCAGGAUCGUUUCUCAUGAACCACUCAAAAUCGCAGAUGUGAACUAAGCUAUCGCAAAACGUUCCUACCCAAAAACCAGCUAAUCGAACAACCCCUGCGACAUGGCUCUAUGCCCGGCGACCACGACGAUGAACUGAAUCAAACACAGAAAGAGGCAGAUCAGAUAGAACAAACAAAAAAAAUGGACAAACCUAGGACAACAGGGAGACGGAAGUAUACCUUGCGCCCCACCGACGCCGGCAAAUACUACCUCCCCCAGCAUGGGUGCUUGUUGGCCGCGAGCACGACGGGGAGCUCCGCUGAGUUCCUCUCCAGCCCGCGGCCCUCUCUGUGACGCACGCCUCCAGCAAUCAAGCGCCACGCUCCAUCUCCGGUUGGCCGACCAACCGCUAAUCACCGGCGAGGAGGCCCCUUCCCUCCGCCGUCUCCGCCCGCCUCGGCCAACCCCUUCCAAUCCCCUCCCCGGCUAGGACAAAGGCCGCCGCCCUUCG